GGUCGAAGGCCAAACGUUGUUUUUUGGCGCUAAUUCACCUCACCUGAAGUAAACAAACCUUUGGAAGCGAAUGUGAAACUGAAACAAGGAUUCAUUCAAGGAAUUCAACAAAGCUCCACAAAGCCGAAAAUUAAAAUGUGAUGAUCACAACAAGUGGGCAGCUUCAAUCCUCAGUGACAUCACCGAGGAAACACCCUAAUUAUCAGGGUAAGGUUUCCGCCUGCAGGGGGCGAUGUUUUACACACACAUUCACCAGACGCUCUUCUCAUCACAGCACCACAGCGCUCUGCCUCCAGCUUUAAGUGAGACUCGACCACACACUCUGAGACUACAGAAGACGAAGCCGCUGAGCCACAAAUACCCCUGGAGGCCAAAGAAGGAGCCAGAGGUUUUCAGGAUGAGGCCCAACGAGUGCCUGCAGGUACUGUACAUGACAUUUCAAAUAGAGCUACUGAAAGUUAACCUUUUGUAGUUUAUAAGAGUAACAUUUUGCAGUAUAAUGCAUGUCCACAUUCAGACCAGCUAAAAACCAUUUGGACGUUUUAAUAAUUACGAACGUUAAUAAUUAAUGUAUCUUUAGCAGCAAGUCAGCUUAAAAAGUAUGCCGAUAUUGAAUGUGAUUCAAAUGGGUUAAAUCAAGACAUCUUUUAAAGUGUAAAGGUUUUUGACAAUAUUACUGGUUUCAUUUUUUCAGCAAUGCAAAUGCUGUCAGAAAUUUUAUUGGCCACACACACAAGAUGUUUUUUGUGGUUUAAAAAGACUUUCCAUUGGCGUACUGUGUUUUUUACCGCUUAUUAUAUAGCCUUACCCCCAGGGACGUUGCUAGGGUUGAAAGAGAUAAGGGGCUUAGCUCUAAAGAAGUUAAAGGGAUGCACCGAUACCAUUUUUUUGGAUCCGAUCUUGAUACCAAAAUUCUGAGUAUCGACCAAUACAGAUCCGAUACAGUUUUUUUUUUUUUUUUUUUAAGCAUUAUACAGUUUCUAUAGUUCUGGUGAUAAACUCAAAAAAUAUAUGCUAUUUAGAAUAAAUAACAGACCUAUAGACCUACUGUAUAUGACAGACAGCACAAUCUAACUUAAAACAUGAUGCUCGCUGUAAACUAGGCUACAUUAUUCGAGCAUUCAUUACGACAUUGAUCUGUUGUGGCACAGCUUAUGUUUCCUUUUUUAAUAUUAAGAUUUAUCUUUGAAAUUGCACAAUUGCAUUUUAGUAAUAGGCUACCACUAUUGACCCUAAUUAG
rnacentral:lncRNA from 1 species